ensembl:Mt_rRNA
ACUAACUCUAGCCCUCAUUUUUUCAAUCUAUAAAAUUUUAACUUACAAAUUAAAACAUUCACUAAAAGAAGUAUUGGAGAAAGAAACUUUUUAAGGAGCCAUAGAGAUAGUACCGUAAGGGAAAGAUGAAAGACUUGUUAAAAGUAAAUAAAAGCAAAGAUUAAACCUUGUACCUUUUGCAUAAUGAACUAACUAGAAAUCUUCUAACUAAGAGAACUUUAGCUAGAGACCCCGAAACCAAGCGAGCUACCCAAGAGCAACUUUAAGAGUUAACCCGUCUAUGUAGCAAAAUAGUGGGAAGACUUCUGGGUAGAGGUGAAAAGCCUAACGAGCCUGGUGAUAGCUGGUUACCCAAUAAAGAAUUUUAGUUCAACUUUAAGCCUACCAUAAACUUUACUAACACAAAUGUAAGCUUAAAAUAUAGCCUAAAGAGGGACAGCUCUUUAGGAACGGAAACAACCUCUAAUAGUGAAUAAGACAAUCAAUCAACUAACCAUAGUUGGCUUAAGAGCAGCCAUCAAUAAAGAAAGCGUUCAAGCUCAACACUUAAUAGUACAUAAUACCCUAAAUAAAAUCUAUUUCCUAUCUUCAUAACUGGGUUAAUCUAUUAGCUAAUAGAAGCAAUACUGUUAGCAUGAGUAACAAGAAUAUUAUUCUCCACGCACAAGCCUAUAACAACCCGGAUAACCAUUGUUAGUUAACAAAUUAUAAGUACAUCACCCACUUAUAAAAAGUACUUAUUAUCCAAUGUUAGUCCAACACAGGUGUGCUAAAAGGAAAGAUUAAAAGAAAUAAAAGGAACUCGGCAAACAUGAAUCCCGCCUGUUUACCAAAAACAUAACCUCUAGCAUUAUAAGUAUUAGAGGCAAUGCCUGCCCAGUGACUAAGUUAAACGGCCGCGGUAUCCUGACCGUGCAAAGGUAGCAUAAUCACUUGUUCCUUAAUUAGGGACUAGUAUGAAAGGCUAAACGAGGGUUCAACUGUCUCUUAUUUCCAAUCAGUGAAAUUGACCUUCCCGUGAAGAGGCGGGGAUAUAAUAAUAAGACGAGAAGACCCUAUGGAGCUUUAAUCUCACAACUUAAUUUUAAUAACAAACAGUCUACUGACUUUAAAAAACUAAAUAUAAGUUGUAGAUUUCGGUUGGGGUGACCUCGGAGAAUAAAAAAACCUCCGAAUGAUUAUAACCUAGGCUUACAAGCCAAAGUACAAAAUAUAAUCUUAUUGACCCAAACUAAUUUGAUCAACGGACCAAGUUACCCUAGGGAUAACAGCGCAAUCCUAUUCAAGAGUCCAUAUCGACAAUUAGGGUUUACGACCUCGAUGUUGGAUCAGGACAUCCCAAUGGUGUAGCAGCUAUUAAAGGUUCGUUUGUUCAACGAUUAAAGUCCUACGUGAUCUGAGUUCAGACCGGAGUAAUCCAGGUCGGUUUCUAUCUAUUUACGAUUUCUCCCAGUACGAAAGGACAAGAGAAAUGGGACCUCCUUAAUACAAGUGCCCCUGAUUAAUUAAUGAAACCAUCUCAAUAUAGUAAACACGUACUAUACCCACCCUAGACAAGGGUU